GAUGAACGCUAGCGGCAGGCUUAAUACAUGCAAGUCGUGGGGCAGCAGGACUGUAGCAAUACAGUUGCUGGCGACCGGCAAACGGGUGCGGAACACGUACGCAAUCUACCCAGAACUGGUGAAUAGCCCUCCGAAAGGAGGAUUAAUACACCGUAAUAUUAUAAAGUGGCAUCACUUAAUAAUUAAAGCUCCGGCGGUUUUGGAUGAGCGUGCGGCCCAUUAGGUAGUUGGUUGAGGUAAUGGCUCACCAAGCCUGCGAUGGGUAACUGGUGUGAGAGCACGACCAGUGACACGGGCACUGAGACCCGGGCCCGACUCCUACGGGAGGCAGCAGUAAGGAAUAUUGGUCAAUGGACGCAAGUCUGAACCAGCCAUGCCGCGUGGAGGAUGAAGGCCCUCUGGGUUGUAAACUUCUUUUAUGGGGGACAAAAUCACUUAUUCUUAAGUGUCUGACGGUACCCCAGGAAUAAGCACCGGCUAACUCCGUGCCAGCCGCCGCCGUAA
rnacentral:rRNA from 1 species